GCUGCCCGUCUCAUUAAGCUGCUCCGACAAGGCUAUACCAUCCGCAUUCUGCUGUGGACCUUUGUCCAGUCUUUUAAGGCCCUUCCAUAUGUGUGUUUGCUGAUUGCAAUGCUGUUUUUUAUCUACGCCAUUAUAGGAAUGCAGGUUUUUGGCAAUAUUAGCAUUGAACAUGAUGAGGAUAUGCCUGAGGAUGACUUGCCUGCCAUCACUGAGCACAAUAAUUUUCG
rnacentral:lncRNA from 1 species